UGGGGAAUAUUGCACAAUGGGCGCAAGCCUGAUGCAGCCAUGCCGCGUGUAUGAAGAAGGCCUUCGGGUUGUAAAGUACUUUCAGCGGGGAGGAAGGGAGUAAAGUUAAUACCUUUGCUCAUUGACGUUACCCGCAGAAGAAGCACCGGCUAACUCCGUGCCAGCAGCCGCGGUAAUACGGAGGGUGCAAGCGUUAAUCGGAAUUACUGGGCGUAAAGCGCACGCAGGCGGUUUGUUAAGUCAGAUGUGAAAUCCUCGGGCUCAACCUGGGAAGUGCAUCUGAUACUGGCAAGCUUGAGUCUCGUAGAGGGGGGUAGAAUUCCAGGUGUAGCGGUGAAAUGCGUAGAGAUCUGGAGGAAUACCGGUGGCGAAGGCGGCCCCCUGGACGAAGACUGACGCUCAGGUGCGAAAGCGUGGGGAGCAAACAGG
rnacentral:rRNA from 1 species